UGGAUUGAUGAUGAUCAUGGGUGGCAUAUGAGCUCUUGUCAAUGAAUAUGUGUCUGUAACACUGAGUUCAUA
ensembl:snoRNA